rnacentral:SRP_RNA from 1 species
GCCAGGCAUGGUGGUACAUGCCUGUUAUCCCUGCUCUAACAAGGCUGAGUGAGGCUGGUGGAUUGCUUGAGCCGGGGAGUUCUGAGCUGCAGUGGGCUAAACUGAUUGGGCUUCCACACUGAAGUCUGACACCAGUAUAUUGAGCUUCUGCAAAUAGGAAGCCACCAGGCUGCCAAAGUUAGAGUGAAAUGGCCUAAGUCAGAAAUGGAGCAGGUCAAAACUCCUUUGUUGGUUAGUAGCAGGGUGGGGCCCAUGAAUCGCCUAUGAGUGAUCACUAUGCUUCUGGACUGGAUGAAAUCAGAGACCCCACCUUU